rnacentral:lncRNA from 1 species
CCCACAUCAUCUCUCUACAGGAUCCAGCCUCAUACAAAGGAGAAUCACCUACUCGGACCAUAUAAUUAAAAGACUAAAGCCAAGCCGUGGCUGGAAGGGAGGAGCAUUAGAUGUGGGUCUGUGAAUUACGUCAACAGUGAAGACCCAAUGGCAAUUGGGACUGUUGAUUCAGCAGCUACCAAACAGAUUUCCCUUCCAGAAGAGUCCAAGCCCUCAGAUAGUCUCUGGGGAUUAAAGAGAGCCAGACUGGAAUGCUGCCUCCUUCAGGAAGCAGGGAGUUUUGGACUGACUCUUGCACCAAGACCUCACAGCGCUGCAUCUGCACCAGCCUGAAGCAUCUCUAAUCUGACAUCAGAUUAUAUUUAAGUUUAGGGGACAGCACCUGACAUGACCUGGUGUGAGCUCAAAAGAGCCACGUCUGGCUGGAUGUGUGAAGCCUCGUAAGCCUGGAAGGCCAUUCACGCAAGGACCAGUGCCACUCCUGGACAGCCCAGGCCGUCCCUAUGAGUUCUUUACCCCCUCUUCCU